rfam:Clostridium sp. CAG:127 genomic scaffold, scf166
AUUAGGAGGAAACAUCAUGAACGAAGUGAAUGAUUUAGGAUGUUUCCGACGAUCUGCCGCCGAACGAAUGUGAGGGGGCGAUACAUAUU